AGCCCUUAGAGUGAAUUGAACACCCAUCCAAAUAUUAACAGUAUUAUGCUCUACCGUUGAGCUACAAAGGC
rnacentral:tRNA from 1 species